GCCCAGAUAGCUCAGUAGGUAGAGCAGAGGACUGAAAAUCCUCGUGUCGGUGGUUCGAUUCCGCCUCUGGGCACCA
rnacentral:tRNA from 1 species